rnacentral:rRNA from 1 species
GAUGAACGCUGGCGGCGUGCUUAACACAUGCAAGUCGAGCGAAGCGCUUAAGAAUGAUUCUUCGGAUGAAUUCUUUUGCGACUGAGCGGCGGACGGGUGAGUAACGCGUGGAUAACCUGCCUCAUACAGGGGGAUAACAGUUAGAAAUGACUGCUAAUACCGCAUAAGCGCACAGUGCCGCAUGGCACCGUGUGAAAAACUCCGGUGGUAUGGGAUGGAUCCGCGUUGGAUUAGGCAGUUGGCGGGGUAACGGCCCACCAAACCGACGAUCCAUAGCCGGCCUGAGAGGGUGGACGGCCACAUUGGGACUGAGACACGGCCCAAACUCCUACGGGAGGCAGCAGUGGGGAAUAUUGCACAAUGGGGGAAACCCUGAUGCAGCGACGCCGCGUGAGUGAAGAAGUAAUUCGUUAUGUAAAGCUCUAUCAGCAGGGAAGAAAAUGACGGUACCUGACUAAGAAGCCCCGGCUAACUACGUGCCAGCAGCCGCGGUAAGAC